GAUGAACGCUGGCGGCGCGCUUAACACAUGCAAGUCGAGCGAAGCAGUUAACCUUGAUUUCUUCGGAUUGAUUCUUAACUGACUGAGCGGCGGACGGGUGAGUAACGCGUGGGUGACCUGCCCCAUACCGGGGGAUAACAGCUGGAAACGGCUGCCCCCCCCGCAUAAGCGCACAGAGCUGCAUGGCUCGGUGUGAAAAACUCCGGUGGUAUGGGAUGGGCCCGCGUCUGAUUAGGCAGUUGGCGGGGUAACGGCCCACCAAACCGACGAUCAGUAGCCGGCCUGAGAGGGCGACCGGCCACAUUGGGACUGAGACACGGCCCAAACUCCUACGGGAGGCAGCAGUGGGGAAUAUUGCACAAUGGGGGAAACCCUGAUGCAGCGACGCCGCGUGAGCGAAGAAGUAUUUCGGUAUGUAAAGCUCUAUCAGCAGGGAAGAUAAUGACGGUACCUGACUAAGAAGCCCCGGCUAACUACGUGCCAGCAGCCGCGGUAAUACGUAGGGGGCAAGCGUUAUCCGGAUUUACUGGGUGUAAAGGGAGCGUAGACGGCAAGGCAAGUCUGAUGUGAAAACCCAGGGCUUAACCCUGGGACUGCAUUGGAAACUGUCUGGCUCGAGUGCCGGAGAGGUAAGCGGAAUUCCUAGUGUAGCGGUGAAAUGCGUAGAUAUUAGGAAGAACACCAGUGGCGAAGGCGGCUUACUGGACGGUAACUGACGUUGAGGCUCGAAAGCGUGGGGAGCAAACAGGAUUAGAUACCCUGGUAGUCCACGCCGUAAA
rnacentral:rRNA from 1 species